rnacentral:misc_RNA from 1 species
UGUGGGAGCGAGCCUGCUCGCGAUAGCGGUGUGACAGUGACUUCAUCUCUAACUGAACUACGCCAUCGCGAGCAGGCUCGCUCCCACA